rnacentral:rRNA from 1 species
UAGGGAAUCUUCCGCAACGGGCGAAAGCCUGACGGAGCAACGCCGCGUGAGUGAAGAAGGUCUUCGGAUCGUAAAACUCUGUUAUUAGGGAAGAACAAAUGUGUAAGUAACUAUGCACGUCUUGACGGUACCUAAUCAGAAAGCCACGGCUAACUACGUGCCAGCAGCCGCGGUAAUACGUAGGUGGCAAGCGUUAUCCGGAAUUAUUGGGCGUAAAGCGCGCGUAGGCGGUUGUUUAAGUCUGAUGUGAAAGCCCACGGCUCAACCGUGGAGGGUCAUUGGAAACUGGAAAACUUGAGUGCAGAAGAGGAAAGUGGAAUUCCAUGUGUAGCGGUGAAAUGCGCAGAGAUAUGGAGGAACACCAGUGGCGAAGGCGACUUUCUGGUCUGUAACUGACGCUGAUGUGCGAAAGCGUGGGGAUCAAACA